ensembl:lncRNA
CAUGGCUGCAGCUCUGGCAGGAAGUACAACUCAGAUAGGCUCUGGCAGGAAGUACAACUCAGAUAGGCUCUGGCAGGAAGUACAACUCAGAUAGGCUCUGGCAGGAAGUACAACUCAGAUAGGCUCUGGCAGGAAGUACAGCUCAGAUAGGCUCUGGCAGGAAGUACAACUCAGAUAGGCUCUGGCGGACCAGGCUGCAGCCGUAAGCGCCAAUAGAAACUGUGGUCAGGAGAGGCGACCUGUAAACAUGGAAUAGGACUGGUUGUCUCUCUGGCCGUGCAGGUCCUCGUCUCGUCCACCAGCCGGCUCUCGGUUGCAAUUAGCCGGGGGACAGGCCCUAGCACAGAAUCUGAACUCAGUCAGGGGAGGUCUUUAGGGCUGGAUAGGGUGAACUGCAGGGUGUGUGUGGGUGAUCAUGUACUGUGUGUUUGUG